GAUGAAGAACGUAGCGAAAUGCGAUACGUAGUGUGAAUUGCAGAAUUCAGUGAAUCAUCGAAUCUUUGAACGCACAUUGCACCUCUCGGUAUUCCGGGAGGUAUGCCUGUUCGAGCGUCAUUUGUACCCUCAAGCUCUGCUUGGUGUUGGGUGUUUGUUCCGCCUCUGUGUGUGAACUCGCCUCAAAACAAUUGGCAGCCGGCGUACUUGUUUCGUAGCGCAGCACAUUUUGCGAUCCAGAUCAACGUACAGCGGCAUCCAAGAAGCCUUAUUUAACGCUCUUGACCUCGGAUCAGGUAGGGAUACCCGCUGAACUUAAGCAUAUCAAUAAGCGGAGGA
rnacentral:misc_RNA from 1 species